rnacentral:lncRNA from 1 species
GCGCGCCAGCGCCACCGCAUGCUUGGCCUUGCGGAGGAGUUCUGUGACCCGCACGAUCUCCUUGGCCUUGCCCACAUUGUCCUCGCCCAUCUUGACGAGUUCGCCCUGGGCGGUGGCCAAUUCGGACUCGAGAUGGGCGCUCCUUUCCUUGGCGGAAUUGAGCUCCUUCUCUCGCCGUGCCAACGCCGCUGCCGCGUCCUCCGUGGCCUUGUCCUGCUCCUCCAGC